AAUAGGCCGUUCACUGUCCAGAUGUGGCUAUAUUACCUUGGUGAUGGUCAGUUUCAUAUGAGACCAAGCUAACAUUAACAUCAGAGGGUACUAUCACAUUUGGGAUUAAGUUAAAAAAGAAAUCAGAGGGUAAAUUUGUUGAGGGUUUUUUUUUCUUUUUUCUUUUUUCUUUUUUUUGGGGGGGGGAGGCGGUGGGGGAAAGAGCUUGCUCUGUUGCCCAGGCUGGAGUGCAGUGGUACAAUCUUGGCUGACUGCCUCCUCCACCUCCCAGGCUCAAGAGAUUCUUAUGCUUCAGCCUCCUGAGUAGUUGGGAUUAUAGGCAAGCACCACCAAGCUCAGCUAAUUUUUUUGUAUUUUUAGUAGAGACAGGGUUUCACUAUGUUCUCCAGGCUGGUCUUGAACUCCUGGCCUCAAGUGAUCGUCUCACCUCAGUCUCCCAAAGUGCUGGGAUUACAGGCGUGAGCCACCACGCCCUACCGAUUGAGGAGCUUUGUCAGCGAAACCCGAAACAAGAUGCGGAGAAAAUGGAGACACAGGAUAUAAAAGAAGUCAUUGGUGCCCAUGUUCUUAUCCAGAAUGUAUGGUGGCAAUAACAAUCAGGAAGAGAAAGUGGACCUUCUCUUUCCUUUGACACCCUUGGAAAAUCCGAGUUGCAAUUUGCUGUGUUCUACAUACAAGAUAAGGCAACAGGCUUCCUUGGAAAAAUGGAUUCUCGUGGCUGAUAUCAGACACUGGAACCCCCCAGCAGUGGGCCCUAGAGCCCUAGAAUCAAUUCAGACUUAAAUCUGCUCAGCUUGUCAAGUGCACCCAUUGGGCAUCCGAACCCAAGUGUUGCCAAACAGAGUGGCAUGACCACGGACCAUGGACCCUUAAAAAGACUGUUUACAUUCUGUUUCAUUACACAUGUUCACUCCAAAUGCUCCCCUAAAUAUUUUUAAAAUGAAAAAACUAAUAGCUAUAUUCCUUUAUUAUUUAUUUAUUUAUUUUUGAGACAGAGCCUCGCUCUGUCGCCCAGACUGGAGUGCAGUGGUGCGAUCUCAGCUCACUGUAACCUCCGCCUCCUGGGCUGAAGGGAUUCUUGUACGUCAGCCUCCCGAGUAGCUGGGACUACAGGCACAUGCCGCAUGUCUGGCUAAUUUUUUGCAUUUGUAGUAGAGAUGGGGUUUCACCAUGUUGGCCAGGCUGAUCUCAAACUCCUGGGCGCACGUGAUCCACCCGCCUCGGCCUCCCAAAGUGCUGGGAUUACAGGCUGAGCCACCACGCCCAGCCUAGCUAUAUUCUCUGAAUCAUAUUUAUUCCUAAUAUAUAAACACCUUGUGUUUUUUUCCUCUUUCAGAAUUUCUGUUCAUGACUAACUCUGAUUUAUCUAAGUUUUAAACUGUUAGACAAACUCUCAUCU
rnacentral:lncRNA from 10 species